rnacentral:rRNA from 1 species
GAUGAACGCUGGCGGCGUGCCUAAUACAUGCAAGUCGAGCGAACGGACGAGAAGCUUGCUUCUCUGAUGUUAGCGGCGGACGGGUGAGUAACACGUGGAUAACCUACCUAUAAGACUGGGAUAACUUCGGGAAACCGGAGCUAAUACCGGAUGAUAUUUUGAACCGCAUGGUUCAAAAGUGAAAGACGGUCUUGCUGUCACUUAUAGAUGGAUCCGCGCUGCAUUAGCUAGUUGGUAAGGUAACGGCUUACCAAGGCAACGAUGCAUAGCCGACCUGAGAGGGGAACCGGCACACGGGGAACGGGGCACGGUCCCAACUCCUACGGGGGGGCGGAGGGGGGAAAUUUUCCCCAAGGGGGGAAGGCCUAACGAGGCAACCCGCGGGGGUUGAUGAGGGCUUUGGAUUCGAAAACCCUUUUUAUUGGGAAAAAACAGAUUUGAAAGAAACUGUGCACUUUUUGCGGGAACCAAAGAAGAAGGCCCGGGUAAACUCCUU